UCUUGCGGGAAGCUGCAGAUGGCAGGA
rnacentral:piRNA from 1 species